rnacentral:rRNA from 1 species
GACGUAGGGCGCGAGCGUUGUCCGGAUUUAUUGGGCGUAAAGAGCUCGUAGGCGGUCUGUUGCGUCUGCUGUGAAAACUCGGGGCUUAACCCCGAGCCUGCAGUGGAUACGGGCAGACUAGAGGUAGGUAGGGGAGAAUGGAAUUCCCGGUGUAGCGGUGAAAUGCGCAGAUAUCGGGAGGAACACCGGUGGCGAAGGCGGUUCUCUGGGCCUUACCUGACGCUGAGGAGCGAAAGCGUGGGGAGCGAACAGG